GGGGAUUUGGUGUAGGGGAAUCACGUCUGCUUUGCAUGCAGAAGGUCGGGGGUUCAAAUCCCUCAGUCUCCA
rnacentral:tRNA from 1 species